ACCCUCUGGUUCCCUUCCCCAUUGGAUCUGAAUACCAGUCUUGGUCAUAAGAGGAGGAAAGGUAAUACUGAAGCUGGCCUCACAGCUCUGUGGCAUGUGGGCUAGUUUCAAACAAGG